rnacentral:rRNA from 1 species
UCUUGACAAACUUACAUGGAUAACUGAGGUAAUUCUUGAGCUAAUACAUGCACCAAAGCUUUGACCGUAAGGGAAGAGCGCAUUUAUUAGAACAAAACCAAACGGCUUCGGCUGUUCCCAGUUGAAUCAGAAUAACUCAGCUGAUCGUACGGUCUUGCACCGACGACGUGUCUUUCAAGUAUCUGCUUUAUCAACUUUCGAUGGUAGGGUAUCUGCCUACCAUGGUGGUGACGGAUAACGGAGGAUCAGGGUUCGACUCCGGAGAAGGGGCCUGAGAAAUGGCCACUACGUCUAAGGAUGGCAGCAGGCGCGCAAAUUACCCACUCUCAGAAUUUGGAGGAGGUAGUGACGAGAAAUAACGAGGUUGAUCUCUUCUGAGGCCAACCAUCGGAAUGGGUACAAUUUAAACCCUUUAACGAGUAUCUAUGAGAGGGCAAGUCUGGUGCCAGCAGCCGCGGUAAUUCCAGCU